rnacentral:rRNA from 1 species
UGUUUCGGCUAGGGGGUCAUCCCGACUUACCAACCCGAUGCAAACUACGAAUACCGAAGAAUGUUAUCACGGGAGACACACGGCGGGUGCUAACGUCCGUCGUGAAGAGGGAAACAACCCAGACCGCCAGCUAAGGUCCCAAAGUCAUGGUUAAGUGGGAAACGAUGUGGGAAGGCACAGACAGCCAGGAUGUUGGCUUAGAAGCAGCCAUCAUUUAAAGAAAGCGUAAUAGCUCACUGGUCGAGUCGGCCUGCGCGGAAGAUGUAACGGGGCUAAACCAUGCACCGAAGCUGCGGCAGCGACACUAUGUGUUGUUGGGUAGGGGAGCGUUCUGUAAGCCUGCGAAGGUGUGCUGUGAGGCAUGCUGGAGGUAUCAGAAGUGCGAAUGCUGACAUAAGUAACGAUAAAGCGGGUGAAAAGCCCGCUCGCCGGAAGACCAAGGGUUCCUGUCCAACGUUAAUCGGGGCAGGGUGAGUCGACCCCUAAGGCGAGGCCGAAAGGCGUAGUCGAUGGGAAACAGGUUAAUAUUCCUGUACUUGGUGUUACUGCGAAGGGGGGACGGAGAAGGCUAUGUUAGCCGGGCGACGGUUGUCCCGGUUUAAGCAUGUAGGCUGAUUGUCCAGGCAAAUCCGGAUAAUCAAGGCUGAGGUGUGAUGACGAGGCACUACGGUGCUGAAGUAACAAAUGCCCUGCUUCCAGGAAAAGCCUCUAAGCAUCAGGUAACAU